AGAGGACAGAGGCAGACACAGUGGCUCCCUGUACAGCAUAGUGACGAAAGCAACAUCUGUGUCUACAGCGCUUCAUCAAUAAUUCAGAAUCUUCUAACAGUUUCAGCUUUCAUGAGUCCGAAGAAUGAAAGAAACACAAGACAUCUGCAGCAGCUAGAAUGCAAACUGGACAAUCUUGCUUCAAGUGACCCCGAAGAUGCUAGCUAAACACAUUGUUCCUCUCCAAGUAUCAUGUUAUUGUGUCGUGUCCCGAUGAGUAUCAUGUCAAGAAUCCUGACGGGGAGGACAAAUAAGUGUUGUAACACCAAUACAUGAUACUCUCUUCAAGCUAACAUUUCUGCAAUAAAAAGGAUAAUCUGACAUGAACACAUCUCUAUGAAAUACCUGCUUGACAGUUGCGACCAUACCACACAACAUUUCCGUUGAUGAUGCUCAAAUUCAAAAAGAAAUGUUCCCACGGUUACCCUCAACUGGAAUUAACAGACAUUGAGAGCUAUAACACCUGUGAAUAAAAAAAUCCAAUCAACACGUCAUACCAUAAUUAACAGACAAGAUGUUAAAAGAGGGACUUUGCACUGAGUCUGGAGCCCAUUUCAAGUCUAGAUCUAGAUGAAAUAAACAACUGGCGUGAACGGAGACAUUGUCAGUGUGUACUUUGGGUAAUCAUUGAGUCAGCAGACAAACCAAUAUGCUAUUUGAAUGACUCGAAUCAUAUUUGCCGGAGGUGACAAUUUGGAUCCCGUCUAGUCUCCAGAGGUUAGUCAGACAGGGUCCAAAGGAGGUACUGUCAUUCAGAUCCAAUCAAAAUUCCUAAGCAAGUCUAUACAACUCCUUGGCAAGUAUAGAUUCAUCAGUUUCUGAAAUUGAAGAAAUUCCCAAGGCUCCAUUCUAUGAAAUAUUGAAAAACAAGUCAAAAAGGAAUCCUCAAAAUACUUUCAUUUCAGGGACUAUAGCAACGUUUUACAUGACACAGAAGUGCGCGUCCGAUACGCACGAAUGUGUAGACUGAACGCAGCAAAAAUAUAUAUAGUGUCUCGAGGGACGCACAAUAAUAUUGACUGUACCAAAUUCUUGACAAAAAAUAUAAAGUUCCUGUAAUUAAAGGAAUUAUUAAAUCUUAAA